rnacentral:rRNA from 1 species
GUCUACGGCCAUGCCACCCUAAACAUGCCUGAUCCUGUCUGAUCUCAGAAGCUAAGCAGGGUUUGGCCUGGUUAGUACUUGGGUGGGAGACCACCAAGGAAGACUGGGUACUAUAGGUG